rnacentral:rRNA from 1 species
CGGGUGAGUAACACGUGGGUAAUGUACCUAUCGCGGGGGAUAACAAUCCGAAAGGAUUGCUAAUACCGCAUACGCCAGUUGGAGCUCCGGCUCCGAUUGAGAAAGGUGGCCUCUCAGCGAAGCUACCACCGAUAGAUCAGCCCGCGUCCCAUCAGCUAGUUGGUGAGGUAAUGGCUCACCAAGGCUUAGACGGGUAGCUGGUCUGAGAGGAUGAUCAGCCACACUGGGACUGAGACACGGCCCAGACUCCUACGGGAGGCAGCAGUGGGGAAUAUUGGGCAAUGGGCGCAAGCCUGACCCAGCCACGCCGCGUGAGUGAUGAAGGCUUUCGGGUCGUAAAGCUCUGUGGGGAGGGACGAAACAGUUGCUGGCUAAUAUCCAGCGACCCUGACGGUACCUCCUUAGCAAGCACCGGCUAACUCCGUGCCAGCAGCCGCGGUAA